rnacentral:rRNA from 1 species
GUCGAACGAGAGGCCGUAGCAAUACGGUCGUACAGUGGCGAACGGGUGAGGAAGACGUGGGUAACCUACCCUCGAGUGGGGAAUAACCCGCCGAAAGGCGGGCUAAUACCGCGUACGCUUCUGUUCCUUCGGGGACGGAAGGAAAGCUGUGCCGUGGGCAUGGCGCUCAAGGAUGGGCUCACGCCCUAUCAGCUUGUUGGUAGGGUAACGGCCUACCAAGGCAACGACGGGUAGCUGGUCUGAGAGGACGAUCAGCCACACUGGCACUGCGACACGGGCCAGACUCCUACGGGAGGCAGCAGUGAGGAAUAUUGCGCAAUGGGCGAAAGCCUGACGCAGCGACGCCGCGUGGGGGAUGAAGGUCUUCGGAUUGUAAACCCCUUUCAGGAGGGAAGAUGGAACGGGCAACCGUUCGGACGGUACCUCCAGAAGCAGCCACGGCUAACUUCGUGCCAGCAGCCGCGGUAAUACGAAGGUGGCAAGCGUUGUUCGGAUUUACUGGGCGUAAAGGGAGCGUAGGCGGUUAGGUAAGCCCUUUGGGAAAGCUCCCGGCUUAACCGGGAAAGGUCGAAGGGGACUGCCUGGCUAGAGGGUGGGAGAGG